CCUACGGGUGGCAGCAGUGAGGAAUAUUGGUCAAUGGGCGGAAGCCUGAACCAGCCAAGUAGCGUGCAGGAUGACGGCCCUACGGGUUGUAAACUGCUUUUAUACGGGAAUAACGCGCCUUACGUGUAGGGCUUUGCAUGUACCGUAUGAAUAAGGACCGGCUAAUUCCGUGCCAGCAGCCGCGGUAAUACGGAAGGUCCGGGCGUUAUCCGGAUUUAUUGGGUUUAAAGGGAGCGUAGGCCGCAUGUCAAGCGUGCUGUGAAAUGUCCGGGCUCAACCCGGGCCUUGCAGCGCGAAUGGGCGGGGUUGAGUCGGAGAGAAGAUGGCGGAAUGCGUGGUGUAGCGGUGAA
rnacentral:rRNA from 1 species